GAAGCUGGCUAGACAGUCGCCGCACACGCAAGUGUGGGGAGGAAAGUCCGGGCUCCGUAGAGCAGGAUGCCGGUUAAUGGCCGGACACCGUGAGGUGAUGAACAGUGCCACAGAAAAUACACCGCCGAUGGCUGCGCAAGCGGAUCAGGCAAGGUUGAAAUGGCGGGGUAAGAGCCCACCGCGGUCGUGGCGACAUGGCUGGCCGGCAAGCGUC
rnacentral:RNase_P_RNA from 1 species